rnacentral:rRNA from 1 species
AUUGAACGCUGGCGGCAUGCCUUACACAUGCAAGUCGAACGGCAGCACGGGAGCAAUCCUGGUGGCGAGUGGCGAACGGGUGAGUAAUAUAUCGGAACGCGCCCAGUCGUGGGGAUAACGUAGCGAAAGCUACGCUAAUACCGCAUACGAUCUAUGGAUGAAAGCGGGGGAUCGCAAGACCUCGCGCGAUUGGAGCGGCCGAUAUCAGAUUAGGUAGUUGGUGAGGUAAAGGCUCACCAAGCCGACGAUCUGUAGCUGGUCUGAGAGGACGACCAGCCACACUGGGACUGAGACACGGCCCAGACUCCUACGGGAGGCAACAGUGGGGAAUUUUGGACAAUGGGCGCAAGCCUGAUCCAGCAAUGCCGCGUGCAGGAUGAAGGCCUU